GACGAACGCUGGCGGCGUGCUUAACACAUGCAAGUCGAACGGUAAGGCCCUUCGGGGUACACGAGUGGCGAACGGGUGAGUAACACGUGGGUGAUCUGCCCUGCACUUCGGGAUAAGCCUGGGAAACUGGGUCUAAUACCGGAUAGGACCCUGGGAUGCAUGUCCUGGGGUGGAAAGCUUUUGCGGUGUGGGAUGGGCCCGCGGCCUAUCAGCUUGUUGGUGGGGUGAUGGCCUACCAAGGCGACGAGGGGUCGCCGGCGUGAGAGGGUGACCGGCCACACUGGGACUGAGAUACGGCCCAGACUCCUACGGGAGGCAGCAGUGGGGAAUAUUGCACAAUGGGCGCAAGCCUGAUGCAGCGACGCCGCGUGAGGGAUGACGGCCUUCGGGUUGUAAACCUCUUUCAGCACCGACGAAGCGCAAGUGACGGUAGGUGCAGAAGAAGGACCGGCCAACUACGUGCCAGCAGCCGCCGUAA
rnacentral:rRNA from 1 species